AGUGCUCUGCUAAGCUCUGCAACAAGUUCCAAGCUAGUAGUGGCCAGCUACUCAGCUUUCUCAGGAAACUCACCUUCUCUCCUUGGAGUGAUGGGACUGAGUCCCGCAAACUGUGAAAGCUGUCUUUGAUGUGGUCCCUACGUUUUCGUUCCAGUGCAUUAUGAUGAGCCCGUUUGUCAGCCUAGAAGAAUGGGAGAAAGAACACAUUAGGAAUGUCACUCCUUUUGCUUGGUACAAGGAAUAGAACUGAACGGAAAUAAAAAUGAAAUGGAGAGUAGGAGACGUACCGCAGAUUGAAACCU
rnacentral:lncRNA from 1 species